rnacentral:tRNA from 1 species
GGGGAUGUAGCUCAGAUGGUAGAGCACUCGCUUAGCAUGCGAGAGGUACGGGGAUCGACACCCCACAUCUCCA